AAAACAUGAGAAAUAGAUGAAUAUUCUAACAGAAAUUUAGCAAAGAUGGGAAGUAAUAUUUAAAAACUCACACAAUGCAAAUAACAAUAUCAUGAUUGACCAAGUUUAAGAAACAUUAAUAGAAUCAAGCAGAAGACAUUUAAACUAUAUGAAUGAUCUCUGAAACUAUCAUUUUUAGAAAGUAUUUGAAAUACACACAUGAAAAUGAAAAGACAUAAGAGAGAUUUGGAUAGUAUCAACAACAAAUGUUCAGGUGGCUAGAGAAGUUUUCAAACAUAGAGAAGGACAAAAAUAUUUAAUGACAGAAAGGUCCACAGUCAGACUUAACAAAAUCUACUCAGUAGCUUCUUAAAAUCAGGCUUUCAAGGGAGAACAAUAAAGAGGCAAAGUUUCACAGCUGCAAGGGAAAAAUAAUAAAUAACACAUAGAUAUGGCCCAACUCAUCUGAGAAAAAAAUCUCAGAAAAAAAAUCUUUCUGUGAGAGAGAUGUAAGGCUUCUUUACUAAAGAAAAAAAUAAAUCUGCCAGUCAGGAAUACACCACCCAGCAAAAUUACUCUUCUGAAAAAUAGAGGUGAAGACAUUCUCAGACAAAGACAGAGAAAUUAUAUCCACUAGAUUUGUUCUAAAACAAACAAUAAAGGCACUUCUUCAAAGUGAAAGACAUAAUGAUGAGAAUAAUUGAAGAGUGAGGAGAAAUACUCACUGGUAAGACAAGCAGUCAUUUCCAGAAUGCUCCAGCAUUGAAAGGUUGUGUGGUCAUUCAUAUCAUUAGUGUGGAUAUUAAAAACUAUCAACUCAGAAGUUUACACUAGUGAGUUAUGUAAUAGGCAGUAAAGAAAUGCAUAAAGUGUGAUGGCAAAAAAAAAAAAUCAACCUGUAUAGAGGAAUGAAAAACAAAUGUGGAGUUUUGUUUGCCAAUGUCCCUUUAUUUGGUUUUGAUCAGGUGUUGUCAUUGACAUUAAUCUGCCAUCUCUUCUAAUGACUGCAUUAGAAUCUCUGGAUAGGUUUAAGCGGUUCAAACUUCAGGGCUUACUCUAAAGAGUAUCAAGAAACAAACGUUAAUAGCAGUAAGGAUCAAUCACUCUGUCUUCUCAUCACUUCUCUAUGUCUCUAGUCCUGUCUGUCUAUAUAUGCAUGUGUAUAUUUAUAUACAUAUAUUUAUAAGGUUCUAAUAUCAUGUAUUUUGAUAUAAGGAUUCCUGUAUGGUGUCCUUGGUUGCAAGCAUGACAUUUUCUCAUCCCUCUAUGUUGAUUCAUUUUCUUCCCACAUGACCUGAAUUUCAUUUUCUCAUUGCCUUGUGAACACAAUCUAUGGGCAUUCAUAAAAUAUACAUAUAAUCUAUGUAACCACCCAAAUUCUUUCUUUUCUUUAUCAACAGCAUUCCACAUAUCCGUAAUCAAGCCCUAGUCAUUCAAAGACCAGUUAAUUGUC
rnacentral:lncRNA from 1 species